AAUGGGGGAAACCCUGAUGCAGCAACGCCGCGUGAGCGAUGAAGGCCUUCGGGUUGUAAAGCUCUGUCUUCAGGGACGAUAAUGACGGUACCUGAGGAGGAAGCCACGGCUAACUACGUGCCAGCAGCCGCGGUAAUACGUAGGUGGCAAGCGUUGUCCGGAAUUAUUGGGCGUAAAGGAUGCGUAGGUGGUCCUUUAAGUGGGAUGUGAAAUCCCUGGGCUUAACCCAGGAAUUGCAUUCCAAACUGGAGGACUAGAGUGCAGGAGAGGAAAGUGGAAUUCCCAGUGUAGCGGUGAAAUGCGUAGAGAUUGGGAGGAACACCAGUGGCGAAGGCGGCUUUCUGGACUGUAACUGACACUGAGGCAUGAAAGCGUGGGGAGCAAA
rnacentral:rRNA from 1 species